UACGUAGGGCGCAAGCGUUGUCCGGAAUUAUUGGGCGUAAAGAGCUCGUAGGCGGCUUGUCACGUCGGGUGUGAAAGCCCGGGGCUUAACCCCGGGUCUGCAUUCGAUACGGGCUGGCUAGAGUGUGGUAGGGGAGAUCGGAAUUCCUGGUGUAGCGGUGAAAUGCGCAGAUAUCAGGAGGAACACCGGUGGCGAAGGCGGUUGCCUGGAGCUUUGCUGACGCUGAUGCGCGAAAGCGUGGGGAGCGAUCCGG
rnacentral:rRNA from 1 species